UCAAUAUAAGAGAAAUGAUCGUGU
rnacentral:siRNA from 1 species